rnacentral:rRNA from 1 species
AUGGCUCAGGAUGAACGCUGGCGGCGUGCUUAACACAUGCAAGUCGAACGAAGUCUUCUAGACAGAUCCUUCGGGAUGACGACUAGAUGUACUUAGUGGCGGACGGGUGAGUAACGCGUGGGUAACCUGCCUCAUACAGGGGGAUAACAGUUGGAAACAGCUGCUAAUACCCCAUAAGCGCACAAUGUCGCAUGACAAAGUGUGAAAAACUCCGGUGGUAUGAGAUGGACCCGCGUCUGAUUAGCUAGUUGGUGAGGUAACGGCCCACCAAGGCGACGAUCAGUAGCCGACUUGAGAGAGUGAUCGGCCACAUUGGGACUGAGACACGGCCCAGACUCCUACGGGAGGCAGCAGUGGGGAAUAUUGCACAAUGGGGGAAACCCUGAUGCAGCCGACGCCGCGUGAGUGAUGAAGUAUUUCGGUAUGUAAAGCUCUAUCAGCAAGGAAGAUAAUGACGGUACUUGACUAAGAAGCCCCGGCUAAAUACGUGCCAGCAGCCGC